rnacentral:lncRNA from 1 species
AGUUGGAAAUCUACAGCAACAACAACCAUUGGUCUGGAUAUAAUGCAAACUAUAGGACUUUGAGUUGGCUUCAUUUCUUGCCGAAAUGCAUAGCCUAACUAAUCCCUUACCCAAUCAAUUGGUUGGGCUACACUUUUUGGAAGAUUGCCUCAAACUAGAGCAUUAAUCUGGUGUUGAAUGGGUCGAGCAUAUUGACUAGGUGUUGGCUAAUAUAACAAAGUCUAGUAC